GUCCACACCGUAAACGUUGGGCGCUAGGUGUGGGAUCCAUUCCACGGGUUCCGUGCCGCAGCUAACGCAUUAAGCGCCCCGCCUGGGGAGUACGGCCGCAAGGCUAAAACUCAAAGGAAUUGACGGGGGCCCGCACAAGCGGCGGAGCAUGCGGAUUAAUUCGAUGCAACGCGAAGAACCUUACCUUGGUUUGACAUACACCGGAAAGCUGCAGAGAUGUAGCCCCUUUUAGUCGGUGUACAGGUGGUGCAUGGCUGUCGU
rnacentral:rRNA from 1 species